AGAGUUGAGUGGGAAUCAGCCUGCUGCCUUUCCCCACCCUAGAACUUGGGCUUCAGCUUUCUCUGUUCUGCCACAUUAAUUGUCACUUCUCUAUCCACUUGCUGUUUUCCAAAACGGUUGAUCUCUCCUAUGCUGGUGUCUCUAAUUCUGUCUUCGUGGUCUCUUUUUAUUCCCUUACUGGCCAGUGGAGGUGCAGGAGUUGAUCUUGUUACUUCUACAGUAAUACAAGGUGUUAUUUCUUAAUAAAUCUUUUGCACUCCCAACUCCCUCUCAGCAUUUGCUUCCUGGAGAACCCAACCUGCCACAACAGGAAACAUUUAGAUCCUACAAAGUCAGCUGGGAAGAGAAGGAAUUCAGAAAAAAGAAUGAAACACUGAAAACUGUAUAUCAAAUAAGAAGAAUGAUGUGGAUUGUCGACUGGGAGACUAUAAAACCCAUCACUGAGCUCUUCAGGUCACAGAUUUUCCCUAUGGCAAGAACAAAGGCCCAUCAGGUAAAGGUGCAACUUCCCUCCCCCUCCCAACACUGGCGUCUCCUUAAGGAUUAAGCAUCUUUCCUUAGGCUAGAAACUGAUUGCUGCACUCACCUGUGACCGCCCAGCUCAAGACAAUAGACUUGCCUCCUGCUACGCCCAUGAAGAUAGCAGACCCACUACCUGCUGUGUCCAUCAAGCGCUGUGCAGACAGGGCAAUCUUGUGACUAUUGUGGGAGGGACAUUUCAAUCAUAGUGAAACACCCUCUUUGAGGGUAUAUAACCCACCUAUGUACCCCCAUUUCUUUGGAGUGCUCUGUUCCUUUGUGGAAAGACUCUCCCGGGUUAUAAUCC
rnacentral:lncRNA from 1 species